CUUUUUUCGGCAGGUGUUGCGCACUAAACUUGUAAUUGGUGGCGAAAUAACUGCGUUUGUCAGAGGAUGUGAUGUAUCAGCAGCAUGCAUCGAUAAUUGUAAAAGGAAAGAGGAGAACGGUGUUAGUGUCGAAGUAUGUCAGACUUGCUGCGAUUCAGAUUAUUGUAACACUGGUAACGGUGACGUCACGCUCGCGGAAAAUAUUGGCAGCACAAUGCAAGGAAGUGUUCUUCUAGUGGUUACGGUUUUGGCGUUAGUGACCGGCAAUGUCGUGAUGACACGCAUGUAACAAUCGUGAUAAUGUACACUUCAAGAGUUCGACUUUUUUAGUAUCAAUUAAAUUUCCGGGUUCUUCCCAGUAUUUGUCUUUUAUAUUAUACUUUCAAUGACAUCUUCCACAGUUAAACUUCACAUGAUGUAUGACAAAUUUGUAUUAUUAAUUAAAAGUACGAACACGUAAUAUAAUGAA